GUGGUAAUUCUAGAGCUAAUACAUGCUAAAAACCUCGACUUCGGAAGGGGUGUAUUUAUUAGAUAAAAAACCAAUGCCCUUCGGGGCUCCUUGGUGAUUCAUAAUAACUUAACGAAUCGCAUGGCCUUGCGCCGGCGAUGGUUCAUUCAAAUUUCUGCCCUAUCAACUUUCGAUGGUAGGAUAGUGGCCUACCAUGGUUUUAACGGGUAACGGGGAAUUAGGGUUCUAUUCCGGAGAGGGAGCCUGAGAAACGGCUACCACAUCCAAGGAAGGCAGCAGGCGCGCAAAUUACCCAAUCCCAACACGGGGAGGUAGUGACAAUAAAUACUGAUACAGGGCUCUUUUGGGUCUUGUAAUUGGAAUGAGUACAAUUUAAAUCCCUUAACGAGGAACAAUUGGAGGGCAAGUCUGGUGCCAGCAGCCGCGGUAAUUCCAGCUCCAAUAGCGUAUAUUAAAGUUGUUGCAGUUAAAAAGCUCGUAGUUGAACUUUGGGUCUGGCUGAUCUGUCCUCCUAAUCGAGCGCACGGAUUCGGUCGGACCUUUCCUUCUGGGGAACCCUAUGCCCUUCACUGGGCGUAGUGGGGAACCAGGACUUUUACCUUGAAAAAAUUAGAGUGUUCAAAGCAGGCCUUUGCUCGAAUACAUUAGCAUGGAAUAAUAGAAUAGGACAUCGGUUCUAUUUUGUUGGUUUCUAG
rnacentral:rRNA from 1 species